UUUAUUGAGAGUUUGAUCCUGGCUCAGGACGAACGCUGGCGGCGUGCCUAACACAUGCAAGUCGAGCGAAUGAAGUUCCUUCGGGAAUGGAUUUAGCGGCGGACGGGUGAGUAACACGUGGGCAACCUGCCUCAUAGAGGGGAAUAGCCUCCCGAAAGGGAGAUUAAUACCGCAUAAGAUUGUAGUA
rnacentral:rRNA from 1 species